rnacentral:rRNA from 1 species
CAGUCGCCGCGGGAAUACGUAGGUGGCAAGCGUUGUCCGGAAUUAUUGGGCGUAAAGGGCUCGCAGGCGGUUUCUUAAGUCUGAUGUGAGAGCCCCCGGCUCAACCGGGGAGGGUCAUUGGAAACUGGGAAACUUGAGUGCAGGAGAGGAGAGUGGAAUUCCACGUGUAGCGGUGAAAUGCGUAGAGAUGUGGAGGAACACCAGUGGCGAGGGCGACUCUCUGGUCUGUAACUGACGCUGAGGAGCGAAAGCGUGGGGAGCGAACAGGAUUAGAUACCCGUGUAGUCCCUGUCUCUUAUAC